ACGCUGGCGGAAUGCUUUACACAUGCAAGUCGAACGGCAGCAUAGAGAGCUUGCUCUCUGAUGGCGAGUGGCGAACGGGUGAGUAAUAUAUCGGAACGUGCCUAGUAAUGGGGAAUAACUAGCUGAAAGGUUAGCUAAUGCCGCAUACGACCUACGGGUGAAAGCAGGGGAUCUUCGGACCUUGCGUUAUUAGAGCGGCCGAUAUCUGAUUAGCUUGUUGGUGGGGUAAUGGCCUACCAAGGCGACGAUCAGUAGCUGGUCUGAGAGGACGAUCAGCCACACUGGAACUGAGACACGGUCCAGACUCCUACGGGAGGCAGCAGUGGGGAAUUUUGGACAAUGGGGGCAACCCUGAUCCAGCCAUUCCGCGUGAGUGAAGAAGGCCUUCGGGUUGUAAAGCUCUUUCGCAAGAGAAGAAAACUUGCUAUCUAAUAAAUAGUAAGUAUGACGGUAUCUUGACAAGAAGCACCGGCUAACUACGUGCCAGCAGCCGCGGUAAUACGUAGGGUGCAAGCGUUAAUCGGAAUUACUGGGCGUAAAGCGUGCGCAGGCAGUUUUAUAAGUCAGAUGUGAAAUCCCCGAGCUCAACUUGGGAACUGCGUUUGAAACUGUAAGACUAGAGUGUGUCAGAGGGGGGUAGAAUUCCAAGUGUAGCAGUGAAAUGCGUAGAGAUUUGGAGGAAUACCAAUGGCGAAGGCAGCCCCCUGGGAUAACACUGACGCUCAUGCACGAAAGCGUGGGGAGCAAACAGGAUUAGAUACCCUGGUAGUCCACGCCCUAAACGAUGUCUACUAGUUGUUGGUGGAGUAAAAUCCAUGAGUAACGCAGCUAACGCGUGAAGUAGACCGCCUGGGGAGUACGGUCGCAAGAUUAAACUC
rnacentral:rRNA from 1 species